GAAGCAACUACAUACGAUCCCUGCUAUAACAAUCCGUGUCAGAAUGGUGGAACGUGUCACCCAAAGACAAUCCCUUACUGGCCGUACCAAUUCGUAAAAUACAUCUGUCAGUGCGACUCUAACCACUAUGGACAAGAAUGCCAGCACAAUGCACUAGGUUGUCAAAAUGGAGGAUAUAUUGAUGAGUCUCACUAUAACGGUAGAUGUCGCUGUCCAGUCGGCACGUGGGGCUAUCUUUG